GAUGGACGCUGGCGGCGUGCCUAAUACAUGCAAGUCGAGCGAACAGACGAGGAGCUUGCUCCUCUGACGUUAGCGGCGGACGGGUGAGUAACACGUGGAUAACCUACCUAUAAGACUGGGAUAACUUCGGGAAACCGGAGCUAAUACCGGAGAAUAUAUUGAACCGCAUGGUUCAAUAGUGAAAGACGGUUUUGCGGUCACGUAUAGAUGGAUCCGCGCCGCAUUAGCGUGUUGGUAAGGUAACGGCUUACCAAGGCGACGAUGCGUAGCCGACCUGAGAGGGUGAUCGGCCACACUGGAACUGAGACACGGUCCAGACUCCUACGGGAGGCAGCAGUAGGGAUUCUUCCGGAAUGGGCGAAAGCCUUACGGAGCAACGCCGCGUGAGUGAUGAAGGUCUUCGGAUCGUAAAUCUCUGUUAUUAGGGAAGAACAAAUGUGUAAGUAACUAUGCACGUCUUGACGGUACCUAAUCAGAGAGCCACGGCUAACUACGUG
rnacentral:rRNA from 1 species